rnacentral:rRNA from 1 species
GGAAGGAUCAUUAUUGAAUUAAACUUGGGUUAGGUUGCUGCUGGGUCUUAGGAGCAUGUGCACGCCUAUUCCAUCUUUAACCACCUGUGCACCUUGUGUAGAUCUGGAUGAAUGCUCGAGGGACUAUUAAAAAGUGCCUCGGUUUUGGAGGAGCUGCUGCGUCGCAAGGCCAGCUUUCCUUGCUAGUUCAGAUCUAUGUUUUCUACACACCCUUGAAUGAAUGUAUUAGAAUGGAUGGUUGGCUAUAUAAUAAACGUUAUACAACUUUCAACAACGGAUCUCUUGGCUCUCGCAUCGAUGAAGAACGCAGCGAAAUGCGAUAAGUAAUGUGAAUUGCAGAAUUCAGUGAAUCAUCGAAUCUUUGAACGCACCUUGCGCUCCUUGGUAUUCCGAGGAGCAUGCCUGUUUGAGUGUCAUGAAAUUCUCAACCUUUCUGGCUUUUGUGGCUGGUCAGGCUUGGAUUGUGGGAGCUGCUGGUUUGUUUCUAAUCAGCUCUUCUGAAAUACAUUAGCGAGAUCAUUGCCCGAUUGUCUCUGGUGUGAUAAUUAUCUACACCACCGAUGGAUGGGCUUUGUAAGGUCAUGCUUCUAACCAACUUAUGACUACUUUGACCUCAAAUCAGGUAGGACUACCCGCUGAACUUAAGCAUAUCAAUAAGCGGAGGAAAAGAAACUAACAAGGAUUCCCCUAGUAACUGCGAGUGAAGCGGGAAGAGCUCAAAUUUAAAAUCUGGUAGUGUUUGGCUGCCCGAGUUGUAAUCUAGAGAAGCGUUAUCCGUGCUGGACCGUGUAUAAGUCUCCUGGAAUGGAGCGUCAUAGAGGGUGAGAAUCCCGUCUUUGACACGGACUACCAGGGCUUUGUGAUGCGCUCUCAACGAGUCGAGUUGUUUGGGAAUGCAGCUCUAAAUGGGUGGUAAAUUCCAUCUAAAGCUAAAUAUUGGCGAGAGACCGAUAGCGAACAAGUACCGUGAGGGAAAGAUGAAAAGAACUUUGGAAAGAGAGUUAAACAGUACGUGAAAUUGUUGAAAGGGAAACGCUUGAAGUCAGUCGCAUUGGCCAGGGAUCAACCUUGCUUUCUGCUUGGCGUACUUCCUGGCUGAUGGGUCAGCAUCGAUUUUGACCAGUGGAAAAAGGUCGAAGGAAUGUGGCAUCUUCGGAUGUGUUAUAGCCUUCGGUUGCAUACAUUGGUUGGGAUUGAGGAACUCAGCACGCCGCAAGGCCGGGUUUUUAACCACGUUCGUGCUUAGGAUGCUGGCAUAAUGGCUUUAAUCGACCCGUCUUGAAACACGGACCAAGGAGUCUAACAUGCCUGCGAGUGUUUGGGUGGCAAACCCAAGCGCGCAAUGAAAGUGAAAGUUGGGAUCCCUGUCGUGGGGAGCACCGACGCCCGGACCAGACCUACUGUGACGGAUCCGCGGUAGAGCAUGUAUGUUGGGACCCGAAAGAUGGUGAACUAUGCCUGAAUAGGGUGAAGCCAGAGGAAACUCUGGUGGAGGCUCGUAGCGAUU